rnacentral:rRNA from 1 species
ACACUCCUACGGGAGGCAGCAGUGGGGAAUAUUGGACAAUGGGCGCAAGCCUGAUCCAGCCAUGCCGCGUGAGUGAUGAAGGCCCUAGGGUUGUAAAGCUCUUUCACCGGUGAAGAUAAUGACGGUAACCGGAGAAGAAGCCCCGGCUAACUUCGUGCCAGCAGCCGCGGUAAUACGAAGGGGGCUAGCGUUGUUCGGAUUUACUGGGCGUAAAGCGCACGUAGGCGGACUAUUAAGUCAGGGGUGAAAUCCCGGGGCUCAACCCCGGAACUGCCUUUGAUACUGGUAGUCUUGAGUUCGAGAGAGGUGAGUGGAAUUCCGGGUGUAGAGGUGAAAUUCGUAGAUAUUCGGAGUAACACCAGUGGCGAAGGCGGCUCACUGGCUCGAUACUGACGCUGAGGUGCGAAAGCGUGGGGAGCAAACAGGAUUAGAAACCCUGGUAGUCCCAUGA